UGGGAUCAGCUCCUGCCCGAACCAGACCUUUCAAUUGAUACAAAUCACCAUGAUAAGCCGCACUGUUCACCCUCAAAGCAAGCUCAGCCUCCUGUUUUUCGACAUGUAAGGUGAUAUCUGACUCCAGUUGCUUCACCCGAAGACUAGAUUCUUUACCCUAUCACAAAAUUCAAUUUUAGAUUUUGCAGAAAGAUUUUUUAUUCAAAACUUUAUAGGAGAAAUGAAAGAGCACUAUUCAAACAAGUAAUUUCAGUUUAAGCUUACAAUAACAAAUCUUAAUAUCACAGACAUGAAGAUGAAAAAUAUCUGAGUGACUGGGAGGAGAGGGCACUUAUCGACAGACUCAAAUCAAAUUACCUCCAAUAAGUUUGUCAAUAUUUUUCGCCCAUCAUGAAAAUAUAUGUCAAGAAUAUUGGAGAGAGACUGUCUAUCAAUCCGCAAGAGCCUACACAAUUCACAAACCCGAACUGUAUAUGGCUGAGGAAUGUUGCAAAGAAUGGAAAUUUCUCCAAAUAGGCUAUUAGUCUCCAGAAGUGAGACUGUUUCCUCUGAUCCAUCUGACCCAGUGCCAACCUCCUCCUGAGCAGAGUUAGCAGAAACGAAUCUGAUAAUUUAUUCUAUUCAUCGUAGAAAUUAAUAAAUCUUGCUCUCAACAUCAUGAUUAAAGGCUUUGGUAUGGUUUUGAAAUUAUGGGAGCUGGUAUCAAAAUUCAAUAAAGUACUGCUAAUAUAUUUUUGAUGGUUUUGAACGAUGAGAUAAUUUUUUCCAUUUUAAUGAAAACAGAUGAUAUCUCAUAGAGUUGAAAAGAGUCCUGGUGUGCAAAACGGAUAGUAGAAGAUGCAUGAUAUAACAGAGAGAACAAAAAUGGAACACAAUAAUCUGCAAGACAGACAUGCAUAAAAAUUAAUACAUAUAUAUAUAUUUACAAGGCAGAGUUAUGUACCAGAACACCAUCACAAACAAAAUAGAGUUGAUCCACAACAUUUCCCUGUUCCAUUAUAACUUCUCCUGGGUAAAAAAAUUCCUCGUGGACCUUAGUUACCUGCAAUAUAGACAAAAGUAGGAAAAAAGAAUCAGCCUUGGGAAUCAGGUUAAGUUAGCAUGAAGUUAAAAAAUUAUUUCAGUUAAAAUUGGUGAUGAAUAAGGCCCCGUUUGUUAGCAAUUUUUUUCAAAAUGCAUUUUACUCUCUCUUCUUUUCAACCACAUUCUUUAUUAAAAUAAUGUUACGCGUAAAUAAAAAAAAAAUUCUUAUUUUUCAACCACAUAUUUCACAUCAAUUUACUAUUCUAAAAUGCAUUUUUACAUAAAAAUAACUAUCAAACACCUCCUAAAAGUUAGAUCUUAAUAUGAAAAAUCAUGCCAAUUAACUUUGUAGAACCCUAAUAUGUCCUUCUAUAUCACAAACUUAGCCCCCUAUUUGGUAUUGAUUUAAAUCAAUUUUUAAUUUAAGUCAAAGUCAAACAAUCAAUAUUAACCACAUAUUUCAUGAAUCCCACAACUUUUCAACCACACAUUCAAAAACUUCUAUCAAAAUUUACUAAAAAAUAAUUUUAAUUCCCACUAAACAGGGGCCUAUUCAUUUAUUAGAUAUUUUUAAUAUUUGAGUGAUGGAAAAUUAGAGGGAAAAAAAUCAUUCAACCAUAAGAAAAAUAUAAAAUGACAUGGUGGAAUAAGAAAAUAACUUACAAUUUGAUUGAUGAACUCUGAGGAGCAUCCCUUGAAUAGAGGAACAUUUUCAACAUAAGACUUAUAUAAAGACUCAGAUAUCUGUAAGAAAUAAAUGAUUUAGUCAAUGGAAGAGUUAAUUUUUCAGACAAAAAUUAUGUUAGACCAAAGAGUCCAUCAAGGGAAAGAAGAUAGAUAGUAACUACUCAUAAAAAUGAAAGGAAGCCAAGGUAUAUUUCCCUUCUUUACAACUGAAGCAUUUUGUUCAACCUUUGCCUUUGAAGAACUAGAAAAAUAAAACAAAAGAUGAAAUAAUUUUGAUCUUAGUCAAAACUUCUCAGCAUAUGGGACUAUGUGCAGAAGAUAUAAAUUUUGCCUUUAGGUGUUUCUUCAACUGAGCUGUUAUUAGGCUACAUGAAAGCCAGUGUUUUACUAUUUCUAUUUACAACAGCCCUAUCUACAGAAUAUUAGUAUUAUACUAAAAUCUGGUACCAUAAACUAUAUAACUAAUCUGAAAUGUGUUAUAUAACACAGCAUUAGGCAUAAUUAUAUUGACCAAUUUAUGAUCAUACAUAUAAUAGUUUGCUGGACGCCAUCAAACUAAUGGGCCUUAUUGAUGAGCUUGGGUCAUCAAUAAUUUUUACCGCACUCAUCAGGAAAAGGAAUGAACUAAAGGUUUGGAGAUAUAUUAUGAAUAAAAUGAAGUUAAAUUUGAGACUGUCCACAGGGAGUGAAGGGUUGAUAUCAAUCUUAUAAUGUGGAUUUAAAGAAGAGUCCAGGUGAAUAGUUUAUGUUCAGGUCACUCAAAAGCAAAAAUGAUCCUUAGAGAUUAUCAAAUCCCCUUAUCUUAAGAUCCUUUAGGAUGUGGAAAAGAUAAUCAAAAGGUUGAUAAUUUCCCCAACUUACUUACUAAAGCUCUUAUAAGUGAUGUAGUUAUUUAGUUACCUUGGCACGAAUUGAGAUUGGGAUAUCUUGGAGAACAGAAGCAUCAGUGUAGCUGCUUUCAUAUUGUAAUCUCAAGUGACCUUUUAUUUGAUUACGGAUGUCCCUUCCGAGUUUAUUUCUGUUCAUAUAUUUAAUAAGAUCUGUCAUUUUAUCCCUAUAUCUUACUGUCUUUGAUCCUUUGACAAUCAAUGCUGUCAUGUUACCGAUCAAGUAUGCACCAAGAAUCAUGUCGAAAGAGACAUAAAUCAUAAUGAAUAUCAUUUCUCUCAGAUUGACUGCAUGUAUAUCUCCAUAGCCUAUAUCAAAAGGAGAUACUUGGUUAGCAUAAUAGAACACCUGGUAAAGGAGGAAGAUUUUGACAUAAAUGUGUGAGCAUUUUGAGCCAGUUAGCGAUAAAGUAAUAAUAUUAGCAAGAAGAAAGGACAAGAAUUAGACAUUAUUCAUUUAUGCAGGAAAUGCUCCAUCAUUCAUAAACUAAACACUAAAUUUCAUUAACUAUUACAGAAUCACUUCUUGUAGUUUAAAUGCCACUGCUACCAUUUACUAAGCUAGAAUAUCACUCAAUUUUUUCUUAUCAAUCAGCUUAAUUAGGAUGCAGUUAAAAGGCGGAGGCCACUUAUCUUUAGUGGUUCACAACAGUGGUUUUAGCAAAAACAAUGCUUGCAUAAAGUCCGUCGGUCAUAUAAAGUACAACUGACAUGUUAACCAAAAACUACGACCCCCCCCCCCCCCCCCCCCCCCCCCCGCCCAACCCCCCCCCCACAUUACUUUCCGCCAGGUAGCAGUUUUGGGGGGAUAAAAAAAAAAUCACUUUAGGGUGCAUUUGAUUGCAAAUAUGGAAUUUGCAUAAAAAGAAAAUAAAUUCUAGGUAAUUUCAUUGCCUAGAAUUUAUUUGUAUGAAGAUUGUCAAUUAAAUGUGUUUAAUUGAUUUAAUUUUUAACUUAGAAAAUAUUAUACUUGUCCAUUUUUAAUUGGUGGAUUAAUGAGAGUGAGUGUAUAAAUAAGAGAGAGAAAGAGAGAGUGAAUUCCGUGGAAAAUAAAAUUCUACUCUUCCUAAAGAAAAUUUUUUCCUUGAUUUUAAAUAUGGUCACGUAACCAAAAAGGGAAAAUAUUUUCCAUGGAAAAAAAUGGUAAUCAAACAGCACAAAAGUAAAAAUUUUGGUGAAAAAAACACACUUUCAGGUGGGCAAUCAAAUGCACUCUUAGUAUUAUACGAGGAUAAUUGGAAAUGGAUUAAAACUUGAGAGUGGAGCAAAAGAUUUAUAUCCAUCAUGGUUGUGACACUCAACAGUAAAGUGAAGUCGCCAAACAUUUUUUUAUGUCAGCAUGUUUCUCGCAUUCAAAACCACUUUCUUAUAGCCAUGUGGUAAUAUUUGUUCCAGAUAGAUAGAGUUAAACAUGUGUUGCACGUUAUUUUGAAAUCUUUUAUAAGUGUUGUGAAAGUAAUAUUUGAAUGUAAGUAUUAGAAUUACAUCUAAAUACAUGAAUGACAAAUACGUACAUCAAUUAACAUGAAUGUUAAUUUAUUAAGAAUUGGUACCAAAUAAUAUAUAAACGAAAUUGAAUGUUAAAUUAUCCAUACUAAAUGAAUAUAUUUAAUUUCCAACUAAAUGAAUCUGGACGCUAAUUAUCAUACAUAGAUGUGAAUAAUGAAAUGCAUUUUUGAAUAUGAAAUUUUAAUUAAAUAAAUGUAAAUAUUAAUUAAUUGAGAAUUAAUAACGGUGACAUGGAUGUGAGUGUGAAUGUAAAUAUGAAAUUCUGAUUAAUAUUAAUUAAAUAAAGGUGAAUGUUAAUUAAUUGAAAAUUAAUAAUAGGAAAUAUAUACAUGAAUAAGGAUUUUGUAUUAUUUACUAGAGUGUAAAUUAAACAUAUAUUGAAAAAUGAAAAGUAAGGUAUUAUUGAAAUAAAUGAAUUGUUUAAAGCUAUAAUCGUUCAAAAAAUGAUUCUCACUUGAUUUGAUAUUUAAUAUAUUAUAGAUAUAUGUACAUAUUAGUACAAUAUAGGGAAACCAUACUAAUCAAAACGAUACUAGAGCAUAGAGCACCCUUCUUUCAAUGUUACAGAUUCAACCUUUACAGACAUUCAUUAACAAUCAUGUUCGAGGGAAAUGACUUCUCACCUAAACUUUCCCACCAAAGGAUUAGAGUCUUGGGAAGAGUGGACCUCAUAAACGAAGUCCCACAACGAGUGAUUCUCCCCCCCAAGAAACACGAAAUGCGAUAUUCCCAAACUCAAGAAAGCAACGUGUGUUUUAAAUGAUAUACAAGGGAGUGACAUUUAAUUUGUUUCAUUAACCAAAUAUAACUUUUGGCCAUCACUUAUCAUAUCGACCUCAAGAAUUUUUCCUCCAUCUUCUGAUAAUAUACAUGAGCCAUGUGGAAAUUUCAGUUGCUCUGAUGCUGUUUUGAUUAGCUCCUCAAUGCUGUGAGGAAUCCACAUUACAAGACCACAUUUUGUACCUUCCUUGGAAGCCCAUGGGUGGAAAGGAAACACAGUGCACUUCUUUGGGUGCAUUUUAUCUGACAUCAAAUUGAAAAGCUCUCAGAGAAAAUGAUUAGUCGAGGUGACUAAUGUGAGAGUAAUAUGAAAACCAAUGCAAGUGUAGAAAGGCACGUUAGAAAUUGCAGCAAAAAUUCUUUCUUUAAUAGCUUAAAUUUAGACGAGGAGGAUCAAAAUCGUCUUAAAUUAGACAGAGAUUCUAAAUUCAAGCCAUGUCAUUGCCGACACCCAUUUAUGAAAAUAGCACAAUUUCAAGCUCUUGAUAAAAGAUGAUUUUAGACUGCACAUGAGGGCUCCUUAAACUUCUAGAUUAUGUGGUUCAAAAAGAAGUAAUUUUAUAGUUACUCAACAUCUAACUUACAUGGACUCUUUUACCUAUAUAUUCAAGAACUAGGUAGACAAUGCUUGACAAUUGAAACUUGCACAGAUAUACGUAAAUUAAAUUUAGAAAUUUUUGCAUCACUCAUCCACUAGAAUCUAUGUCCUCUUAUAUUUGUCUGUUGUUCCACUAUAUAUAAUUAGUCUUGCAUCCUUUUUAAAAACUCUCCAGCACACAAGGAACCAUUUUACUGAAAAAAAUAAAGAGGUUAAACAUCAAAGAGUUUGCCGUGUCAGCUAUCUUUAUCUUUGAAGAUCAAAUGGAAAUUAAAAGACGAUGCAUCAAUUAAUAAAGUGCGUGCAACAUAUCUCAAAGCAUGAAGUGCAAAUAAAAACUAUGUUAAGUGCAAAAACACAGACAAUAAGGUAAAAUUGAGGUUUGAUGAAGCAAAAGGGCCCAUAAUAGUCAGUGUUCUUUGAUUUUGAUCCAGCUUUACUAGAAGGAAAGCUUAAGUACUUUCACUAUAUCGAAUAAGGAGGUUUUAGUUAUUAACUAUGAGGCAACUAUAUGGACGCGUGUGUCUGAAACAACAUGCAUCUAUCAUGUCGACACUUGAUUUUUCAAAAAAGCACUGACACGACACAUUUUCGACAAGUUGAUUAAAUUAUUUAAAAUUCUGCAUUUAUAUAGGAGUAGUUUGAGGCCUAUUUUUCUAAAAAAAUGCAUUUUGAAAUAGUGUUAUAAUGGAAAAUGUGUGGUCAAAAAAUAAGAAAAUAUUUUGAUUUUGCGUGUAAUAUUAUUUUAUUACAAAAUGUGUGGUUGAAAUGGUAUCAAAUCACUGUUAAAAAAUGUAUUUUAAUGAAAAAAUGGGGCUCAAACAAAGGUAUAGUAUAAAUUUAGUUUUAUAAUUGUUAUCAAUUUUUCUUAUCAAGAUCUUUUAAAUAUAAGUACAUAUUUGUUAUUUAAUAAUAACUUUGAAUUAAAAAUAUAUAAUAUUGUUAAUAAAAAAAAUGAUCAUGGAAGAAUAAUGGAGGAGUGUCGGUAUCCGACACGUGUCGGAUACUGACAUGCUAUCUUAGUUGAAGUGUUCGUGCUACAAAGGUUAUUAAGGUCUAUGAUCAUUAUAAUACCAUUUUUCCUAUUCUGUUUGUGUGUAGAUGUGUUUGCACUACCUUGAUGCAAUGCAACUUUAAUAUUGGUGACUUCCAUUUUAAUAUGCUAUAUUCUUCAGCAGUAGUAACGAAAGUUAAUAUCUGGAUUAUGCACACUAAAAAACUGAGAAUCUGGUACCUGUGACAUCUUGAGAGCAAUCAGGGAACUUGGAUAAUUGGGCAGCUUUAGCUUCUUCCAGAAGUCUAAUCAUAUUCUUGUUUCCACACAUUUUCCCUUCGUCUACUGGGGUGUUUCCCCAUCUGAAAAUUUAUAAGUUACACAAAAAUGUAGCUGUACUCGACAAAUUAAGAGCAGAUGAGAAUAAUUAUUUUCCAACUAAUCUCAAUAAACUAAUCAAAGAUGGACGAAUUUGAAACUUAUUAAAGAAUAUGAGCUAAACUCAAACUCAGCUUUACAACUCCAGCAUCCUGUGAAUACGAAAAACCAGACACUUCCUAAAGUCAGAAUUGAGCUUCAUUUGAAGCCUGAUUACUGGACCAGAAUUAGUAGUUGCUGUACUUUCUGGACAGAAUAAUCGAGUAGAAUAACAGUACGAAGUAAUGUUAAACUUAGGUUGAGAAAGGCUUAGAACAUCAUGGUAACAAAUAGAACUUUCCCAUCCACAAAAAUAUCAAAGAUUUACAGAAUUAAAUAAAAAAUGAGUAGGUCUUGGCAAACUCUCUUUUGUACUUGAUUUUCUAAUUCCAUCAGAACUAGUGUUCCUACCAGAGGUUGAUCUGACUACAGUAAGUGUUGAAAUUCUCUUUCCCUAGGGAAACAAACAUAAUUCAAGAAUUACGAUAUCAAAACACCUGGGUCGUUAUUGGGUGGUUUUGAGGAAAUCUCGAGAGAAUCUGAUUUCUUAUAACCAAUGCACACUAAGUAAGAUCUAUGUUUUUAAGUUAGAAAUGUUAAGGAAAAAACUAAAGAUUGCAACACGCAAGCCCCAUAAAAAACUCAAAUGCCAUGAAAAUGUACACCAGGAGUUACAAAUUUGUAUCUUGUGCAAGUGUUGGAUGCUGAAUCUGUAUGGUAGAAGUAUAGUAUACUCACAAGAGCCGUGUAAUUUCAUAUUAAUGUAAAAUGGCUUAAAGUAGAAUUAAAGUUCACACAUUGUUGAACGACAUAAAAACUGUCUGACUUAAAAGAAAAGUUAGUGAUUUUCUUUUUCUGCAGAACUUAUAAAUGAAACUGAAUGCAUCAAAUGUAAAAUCAAAACUCACUGCUGCUUCUGCUCAGGCUUCAAAAGAAACUGGGAAUUAAAGCAAACAAGUGUGCACUUGGAAUGGAAGUAAAAAAUGAAAAAUCUAAAUAACCUUAGACUAGAAAGAAAUACAUUUUACCUGUCCCUUGAGAAAACACUUGCCCCCGCUUCCAAAAGCAAUUUUGCCAUCAAAUAUAAUCCAUGAGUGGCAGCUAUAUGAAGUGGGGUUCGGUGAUCAUAGUCUUUGAAGUUUGGAUCAAUUCCAUGGGAUAAAAGUCUUCUGAGAAAAUCAGUAUCUCCUCUUGCGACCAAUGUGCAUAAGAAACUACCAGAAUUCUCAAUCUUCAACAAGGCCCCCUCUCUAGAAAGCAAUGCAGCAACUCUGUCGUGUCUACCCUUGAUUGCUUCAAAUAAGGGUGUAUUUCCAAAAUUAUCUGUUCAGAGAAACAACUGCAUUAAGUCCUAUAUGUUACUUAAUGGAAAUUCAAAAUCUCAAAUGCGAACACCAAUUAACCAACUCAAAAAUUUACCUGCAGCAUUCACAUCUACACCUUCUUGUAUCAGAAAAAGAGCAAUAUCUUCGUAACCUCGUGAUGCAGCAAGAUGCUGUUGAAAAACAAGGCACUGUUUAGGGACCUCUAAUCUGUUGCUUUCAUUAUAUAAUCUUUUUGAAGAUCCAAGUUUUUAAAAUAAAGUCAUGUUGUGUACUUGUGUCAUGAAAUAACAGAGUCAUGAAGCAUCAAAGACUAAAGCAUUGACACGCACAAGACACAACAUGAAUAUGAUGACACGAAAUUUAAAAAAAAAAAUAAAAAUGACACGACACGACACAUCCCGACAUGCUGAUUAAAAUAAUAAUACUAAUAUAUAUAUAUUUUUUUAAUCUUGUAUAUUACAAAGUAAAUUUAUUCUUGUUAAUUUCAACAUGUCAAUAAUGUACUUCUGACGUGUUGACAAUGUAUAUCCCAACGUGUCUACAUGACCAACUGUACAAAAUAAAAAUAAUUUGGACAUGCCACCAAAUGUUCCACACGUAUGUCAAUGUCCAACAUGAUAUAUUUUCCAACGUGUCAACGAUGUGUCCAACUGUACAAAACGUAAAAAUUAUUUGGACAUGCCACAUGUGUCAGCGAGUCAGAUGCAGACUAGUCGGUGCAUCCUAGAUCAAAGGUCCAAAAACAGGAAAAAGAUGUAGUGGGACAUUGGAAAUUAUUUUGCAUGGAUCUUCAUGACUGCAAAAAGAUUCAAUCAUUGAAGUGCAUAGAUCUUUAUGACUGCAAGAAAUGAAAAUAUAUAAAAAGGACCUUAGAUGUUAAUUUUUCUAACUUAAUAAUCUCUUCAUUCAACCACUUUAUGUAACAAAUUCGCUAAAUGAUAAAUUUUUGGGGAGGAAAAAAUUUGAAAAAUGAUAAAAUAUGAAUGGUAAGAGAUGAUGCAUCUAUGUAUCCCCUUUGGAUGCAGAAAGAAACGGUAUAUUAACAAAAUUUGAAUGCUGGAUACAAUGCCAAAGUUCCACAAAUCUAGUAGUUCAGGGAAACAGAAAAUCCCCAUUUCUCAAUGCUUGAGUGUGCUGUUUAGUUAAACUUAAAAGGGUACCCAGAAUAGCUACUGAAACAAUAAUAAUUAAGAUUUGUAAGAAAACUAGUACGUGGCCAGUUACCUAUAAACAACAAUUUUUAAUCAAUUUGAUCAUUUUUCUUAAAGGUGGUAUAAACUUCUGGAUCAUCAAAAUGUUUAUGCAGAGAAGAAAUUGGUGAAUUUAAGCGACCAAAAAAAAUAAUAAUAAAUUGAAAACACAUAGUUUUAUAUAGUUGGCUUGAAAAGUUAGACUGCAGAAUACAAAUUUGAUUAUCUUAAAUCAUACCAAGGGUGAUCUCCCAUCAUAAUCUUUCUUGUUGGGAUCAGCUCCUGCCCGAACCAGACCUUUCAAUUGAUACAAAUCACCAUGAUAAGCCGCACUGUUCACCCUCAAAGCAAGCUCAGCCUCCUGUUUUUCGACAUGUAAGGUGAUAUCUGA
rnacentral:lncRNA from 1 species